rnacentral:rRNA from 1 species
UUGAACGCUGGCGGCAUGCCUUACACAUGCAAGUCGAACGGCAGCACGGGAGCAAUCCUGGUGGCGAGUGGCGAACGGGUGAGUAAUAUAUCGGAACGUGCCCAGUCGUGGGGGAUAACGUAGCGAAAGCUACGCUAAUACCGCAUACGAUCUAUGGAUGAAAGCGGGGGAUCGCAAGACCUCGCGCGAUUGGAGCGGCCGAUAUCAGAUUAGGUAGUUGGUGAGGUAAAGACUCACCAAGCCGACGAUCUGUAGCUGGUCUGAGAGGACGACCAGCCACACUGGGACUGAGACACGGCCCCAGACUCCUACGGGAGGCAGCAGUGGGGAAUUUGGACAAUGGGCGCAAGCCUGAUCCAGCAAUGCCGCGUGCAGGAUGAAGGCCUUCGGGUUGUAAACUGCUUUGUACGGAACGAAACGGUGAGCUCUAAUACAGUUUGCUAAUGACGGUACCGUAAGAAUAAGCACCGGCUAACUACGUG